rnacentral:misc_RNA from 1 species
AUUCCACCUUUUAUGAUCUGGGGAGACUCCUAAGCAUGAUUCCCUUAUUCUGUCCGCACAAACCAAGUGAUCAAGACUCAUUUCCAAUUCUUCAAAUGAGCCCAUCCAUUGAGACCCUCUCUAACCAGCCACCACAGACAUGAUUAAGGUUCAAUUCCAAAUCUUGAAGAAAAUGGGUGGAAUGAACUAUUCCUAUUUUAGGUAGACAGAAACUCUCUCUCAUUAAGAAACAAGAUAGCACCAUGGG